UAUUAUGGGUGCUCAAAGUCCCACAUCGAGUAGUAUGGGAUGCUUGAUGUUGUACAUAAGGAGAGUGGUUCUUCUUCCUUAACAGCUAGCUUUAAGGUGUGGUUUUCCAAUUUUCUUAGAUACUUAACACUUUCACAACCAGAUUGUGGUGAACAAGCACUUAGUCUUGUGGAUACCUUAAUCCGUAGUGGUUCAGUUGACGUAAUUGUUGUUGACAGUUUGCUGGUAUUUGACAAGUAUGGAGCUUUCAGGAUCUUUGUCUCCUUUUGUUGCCAAUAUGACAGCUCUGGCUAGGAAACAUGCAAUGAGUUGACACUGUACCUGGUCAAUGAACUAUAUAUGCAGCUUCAGUGUGGUGUCUAGAUGAAGGUGCCAAGAUCCUCGAGUGUCAGAAGGAAAAGGGCCAGCUUGUGUUUCCCAUAUUCUUCUACAAAUAGAGCCAUCGGAUGUACGGCGUCAGAGAAAUAGUUAUAAACUUGCCAUGGCUGUUACUCUGAGAAGUGCAGAGGUGUUACAUACAUAGAUUAAAUGAACCAAUAUGUAUUAGAGACUCUGAGAAGCAUAUAUAGACUCUGACAUAGAUUAAGUGGGCAGUAAAUUUUGCUCAUAGAGACUGACAUAGAUUUGUUGAGACAAAUUUUGUAAAGAAUGCUCUUUCUUUUUGUUUUGAAGAUUGUCCAUUUUGCUCUCUUCCUUAUAUUAUUCCUUUGAAAGUGUAAAAAUUUUAGAUGAAUGAAAGAAAGUUAUUGCAUCUCA